UACGUAGGGUGCAAGCGUUGUCCGGAAUUAUUGGGCGUAAAGCGUCCGCAGGUGGUUGUUCAAGUCUGCUGUUAAAGCGCGAGGCUUAACCUUGUACAGGCAGUGGAAACUGAGCGACUAGAGUAUGGUAGGGGUAGCGGGAAUUCCCAGUGUAGCGGUGAAAUGCGUAGAUAUUGGGAAGAACACCAGCGGCGAAAGCGCGCUACUGGGCCAUUACUGACACUCAUGGACGAAAGCUAGGGGAGCGAAAGGG
rnacentral:rRNA from 1 species